rnacentral:rRNA from 1 species
AAGUCGAGCGAACAGACGAGGAGCUUGCUCCUCUGACGUUAGCGGCGGACGGGUGAGUAACACGUGGAUAACCUACCUAUAAGACUGGGAUAACUUCGGGAAACCGGAGCUAAUACCGGAUAAUAUAUUGAACCGCAUGGUUCAAUAGUGAAAGACGGUUUUGCUGUCACUUAUAGAUGGAUCCGCGCCGCAUUAGCUAGUUGGUAAGGUAACGGCUUACCAAGGCGACGAUGCGUAGCCGACCUGAGAGGGUGAUCGGCCACACUGGAACUGAGACACGGUCCAGACUCCUACGGGAGGCAGCAGUAGGGAAUCUUCCGCAAUGGGCGAAAGCCUGACGGAGCAACGCCGCGUGAGUGACGAAGGUCUUCGGAUCGUAAAACUCUGUUAUUAGGGAAGAACAAAUGUGUAAGUAACUAUGCACGUCUUGACGGUACCUAAUCAGAAAGCCACGGCUAACUACGUGCCAGCAGCCGCGGUAAUACGUAGGUGGCAAGCGUUAUCCGGAAUUAUUGGGCGUAAAGCGCGCGUAGGCGGUUUUUUAAGUCUGAUGUGAAAGCCCACGGCUCAACCGUGGAGGGUCAUUGGAAACUGGAAAACUUGAGUGCAGAAGAGGAAAGUGGAAUUCCAUGUGUAGCGGUGAAAUGCGCAGAGAUAUGGAGGAACACCAGUGGCGAAGGCGACUUUCUGGUCUGUAACU